rnacentral:rRNA from 1 species
GACAGAGGGUGCAAACGUUGUUCGGAUUUACUGGGCGUAAAGCGCAUGUAGGCGGCCGCAUAGGUCGGAUGUGAAAUCCCCUCGGCUCAACCGAGGACGUGCAUUCGAAACCCUGCGGCUCGAGUCCUGGAGAGGGUAGUGGAAUUCUCGGCGUAGAGGUGAAAUUCGUAGAUAUCGGGAGGAACACCGGCGGCGAAAGCGGCUACCUGGACAGAGACUGACGCUGAGAUGCGAAAGCGUGGGGAGCAAACAGG